rnacentral:rRNA from 1 species
GAUGAACGCUGGCGGCGUGCCUAAUACAUGCAAGUCGAGCGAACAGACGAGGAGCUUGCUCCUCUGACGUUAGCGGCGGACGGGUGAGUAACACGUGGAUAACCUACCUAUAAGACUGGGAUAACUUCGGGAAACCGGAGCUAAUACCGGAUAAUAUAUUGAACCGCAUGGUUCAAUAGUGAAAGACGGUUUUGCUGUCACUUAUAGAUGGAUCCGCGCCGCAUUAGCUAGUUGGUAAGUUAACGGCUUACCAAGGCAACGAUGCGUAGCCGACCUGAGAGGGUGAUCGGCCACACUGGAACUGAGACACGGUCCAGACUCCUACGGGAGGCAGCAGUAGGGAAUCGUCCGCAAUGGGCGAAAGCCUGACGGAGCAACGCCGCGUGAGUGAUGAAGGUCUUCGGAUCGUAAAACUCUGUUAUUAGGGAAGAACAAAUGUGUAAGUAACUAUGCACGUCGUGACGGUACCUAAUCAGAAAGCAACGGCUAACUACGUG